GACGGAGGGUGCAAGCGUUGUUCGGAAUUACUGGGCGUAAAGGGCUCGUAGGCGGCCAACUAAGUCAGACGUGAAAUCCCUCGGCUUAACCGGGGAACUGCGUCUGAUACUGGAUGGCUUGAGUUCGGGAGAGGGAUGCGGAAUUCCAGGUGUAGCGGUGAAAUGCGUAGAUAUCUGGAGGAAUACCGGUGGCGAAGGCGGCAUCCUGGACCGGCAUUGACGCUGAGGAGCGAAAAGCCAGGGGAGCAAACGGG
rnacentral:rRNA from 1 species